GUCCUAGUAGCUUAACAACAAAGCACUGACCUUGUAAGCCAGAGAAUGGAAGUUUAUUCCCUAGGACU
rnacentral:tRNA from 1 species